GAUUCUGGCUCAGGAUGAACGCUAGCUACAGGCUUAACACAUGCAAGUCGAGGGGCAUCACGUGAGGCAGCAAUGCAUCUGGGUGGCGACCGGCGAAUAGGUGAGUAACGAGUAUCCAACCUGGCCCAUACUCGGGCACACGCCCGCGAAAGCGGGAUUAAUGCCCGAUGCGGCGUAUCUCCCGCAUGGGAAUUACGUCAAAGGUAUAAACUGGUAUGGGAUGGGGAUGCGUCCGAUUAGCUAGACGGCGGGGUAACGGCCCACCGUGGCGAUGAUCGGUAGGGGUCCUGAGAGGAAGGUCCCCCACAUUGGAACUGAGACACGGUCCAAACUCCUACGGGAGGCAGCAGUGAGGAAUAUUGGUCAAUGGCCGUAAGGCUGAACCAGCCAAGUAGCGUGAGGGAAUGACCGCCCUAUGGGUCGUAAACCUCUUUUGCACGGGAAUAACCGCACCCACGCGUGGGUGCCUGCAUGUACCGUGCGAAUAAGCAUCGGCUAACUCCGUGCCAGCCGCCGC
rnacentral:rRNA from 1 species